UUGACAUCGAACACAGAGAGGGUCCAUCUAUCCAUGUUUUCAGAAAAGUUUGACAUUGAACAUAGAGAGGGUGGCCUUAUAGAGGGACCCUGGGGCAGCGGUACUCAGUACGCUCAACGCACUGGGGAAACCGUCUCGGGGAUGAAGAUGACGGCCGGUGACGCCGAGAGUGGCCAUAAAGGCAGAGCUGUGUGCUGCACUCCAUUCCAGCCUUAUGUGAUUUAAUCGACGUGCCAGGGGUGGAAGGCCCGUAUCUCAAGCAUCCUUCAGUAACAUCCCCAAAACUACUUGGACCCACAACUUCUGCUGUUUGGCCGACCCUCAUCAGGAAAGAAUAAAAAGAAACAGUACAAGACAAAGCAGCCAAAAAAGUGCUUCUGAUGAAGGACUUGGAGAGAAAAAAAACUCAUAAAAAAGAAAGAUUCAGAAUAUUUGAGAGAAGUCCUUUAUGAAAAGUAUCCCAAACUGAGAGAUGGAGGUGGAUUUGAAUUGCUGAAUCAAAUUCAAGAGUUGAUCUUGAAAAUAUUAACAUUCCAUCCUCAGGUUACAAUUAAUAUUUUUGGCGGAUGAAAGUGGACUUGGAGGAGCUAUUUUUUACAUCAGACCAAUUCAAGAGAAUCUCUCGAUGGAUCCUGUUUUGAAUGUUGUGGUAUGUUAAAAAAUCUUUCUACUGUACUUUAAAUAAGUUGACUGUCAAUCAUCAUACAUUCAAGACAGAUGAACAAUGCAUUUUUUUAUUAUUGAUUUUAAAUUAUUAUUGUUACUUUCUUAAUGAAGUGUGCAUUAAUUGUGUAAUGAUACUAAAAGCUAAAAUGAAAAGUUAUUAAUAUUGACAAGGCUGGAUUUUUGGCAACGAAUAGCCUCCAUAAAGGAU